ensembl:lncRNA
UACCCACAGGGUGCUCUCUUCCUUCCGUGCUCUCUCCUUUUCUUUCUAGCCAACCGCCUCCACUUUCUCACCUCCCACUCAGCAGGUCCUAUUACGGACUCCCCGAAGCAGCACGUGGAAGCAGCUCUCUGGAAGGUUGCCUUAACUUAGUUGCUAAAUCCCUUACCCCACCCUGAUCUCUCAGGGACGGUAAGCACUGCCGACCUGGCCCUUCUUGGAGCUCUUUUCUUGGCCUCAGAUACCACCCUGAUGGUUUUCCUUCUAUCUCUUGAAUGGUUCCCUCUCUGAGCUCACCUUCCGACCGUGCCCCUUAAAGGCUCCUCUGUCCAUGGGAUUCUCCAGGAAAGAAUACUGGAGUGGAUUGCCAUUCCCUUCUCCAGAGGAUCUUCUCGACCCAGGGACUGAACCUGAGUCUCUUGCAUUGCAGGCAGAUUCUUUACUGUCUGAACUAUAUGGGAUAAUAUACAUAAAGCAUGGGAUAAUGCACGUAAAGCCUUCAGCACUGGGUCUGACAUAUAGCCAGCAGUCAGUUCCUGGCAGUUGCUGUUAGUAUCUUUUCUUCCUGAUCUUAGCUCCCUGACCAGGGAUUGAACCCACACCAUCUGCGUUGGAAGGCGAAGUCCUAACCACUGAACCACUAGGGAAGUUCCCCCCACACC